AUGUUCUUUAAAUCGCCCCUUCACCAGAAUUACUCUACUCUUCAUCACCCUCUUUCAUCUUCAAUUAGCUUGAUAUCACAACCUCGAUGCUUCAAUCAUUAUCAACUCUGCAUCGCGUUUCUCACUGCAAAAACAAACGUAAAGUAUCAAUUCCCCACAUCAGUCCAGAUUCAAACAUCAUCACCGAGUUUUUCAACAUUACAACUUUGUUCGAAAUUGCAAGAACAGAAGAAGAAUGGAAUGGAGGAUUUACCUGAUUUGUAA